UCUAAUAACGUCAAACAAACAAACGCCCCAACUACUCGAUGGGAUUCACGCCAUUUACCGCGGAAAAGCUUUUUGGCCUGAAUUCGACACAUCAUCCACAAAAUCACACCAGGAGAUUGAAACCCACCUGUAAAGCAGCUUACAAAAGCAGAGACUCUCCUACCAAAUGUUUCCGACAAACAUCAGGCAACGCGGUGGCGCAGUAGGCAGUGCUGUCGCCUCACAGCAAGAAGGUCGCUGGUUUGAGCCUCAGCUGGGUCAGUUGGCGUGGAGUUUGUAUGUUCCCCUCGCGAUUGCGUGGGUUUUUAUCCGGGUGCUCCGGUUUCCCCCACAGUCCAAAGACGUGCGGUACAGCAGGUGUGUUUCAUUGGGUGAUGUCCACCAUGGUUUACCCCCGCGACGAGGCUCUAGAGUGGAUGAUGCCAGGAUGAUAUCGUGCUGACUACAACACUAAAUCGGUGAUCGGUUUGGAGAGGCAUGCGAGGAGAACAUGCUCAACUCCUCAAAACCAUUCUGGACUGCAGUCAACCAGCCGGAGUGCAGGAGAAAUCCAGACUGCUGCUGGAGGACCUGGAGGACAUUGGGCUGGGCAUGGGAGAAGCACAGCGGAAACAGGAGUGUAGGAGAAAUCCAGACUGCUGCUGGAGGACAUGAAGGAGGACAUUGAGCUGUGCCUGGGAGAAGCACAGUGGAAACUGGAGUGCAGGAGAAAUCCAGACUGCUGCUGGUGAAC